CAGUUCCCAUAGGCCGACUUUCCUGAAGCCGGUGGUGUCAGGUUUCGGCAGUGGUGCCUUUGCAACAUUGCAGUAAGAGCAGCAAGGGUCUGCAGCAGCAACAGGAACCAGUUCUGAGCUGUGAAUGCAGUGGGGUUUCCCCUGCAGCUUCCACCCAUCCUGCCUUGGACAUGCAGGCUCAGAAGUUACGGGGCAAAGAGCACUUCUUACUGCACAUGUCACACUGCGAAAUCAGACUCUGGAGCUGAGUGAUGCUGCCCCGUGGGAGAGCCAGCUUCUCCAGGUCCCACCACCGGCACCCCACACUGAAGUCCCACAGAGUAAGAAUAGAAGAAAUACAAGAAUCUUUUAGUUCCAGAAAGACUCAGGAGAGUCCUCUAAAAGCCCAAGCCAGAGGCCUCUCAGUCUGGCUCAGUGCUUGAGCUGCCCUCUGCGAGACACCCACAGCGCACCCCAGCUGAACAACUACAAUUAAAAUUGCCAGGUCGUCUCCUUCUGUCACAAAAUAAAAUGUGUUUUCAUGAGUUUUGCAUCACAAAAUCCCCCCUUCUUGCAUUUUUAAGGUGAAAUUGUAAUUACAUUCUAACACAGUACAGACUUUUUCAUUAACAAAUUCACUUGGUUUUUCACGUGGGGUUGUAUGUGGUCUCUCAGAUAUCUUGGUAGUCUGAACGUCACAUUCUUAACACCAGGACCUUCACCAGGAGGGGUAACUAGAGCGUCACAGCCAGAGCAGAUGUCCCAGGGACCAUUAAAUCAUGGGGUGUGACCCAGAGCUUCCUGCACAGAACCACCAAAUGGCAAGGGAGACUGAUGGAAGCCAGAACCAAGAUCAAAGCCAAAAUCAGAGACCGUGGAGCCAUUAUUAGAGGUGGAGUGGCUUCGAGGAGAGAGGAACUGGGAAGAGGUGGCCAUUAGCAUCAAAGACACCAAGGGACCAGCACCCAAUGCAGCUGAAGGCAGGAUGGCUGGGGGCUGAGUGUGAGCACCCAACUGCACUGUCUACCUGCCCAUCUUGCCUGGACACCGAAUUACCCUGACUUCGCUUCCUCAAGGCCCUGUGGGUGAAGAAGGGGCCGGGGAAGGAAGGAAAAGAUGGUUUUUCUAAUAGUGAGCCCACAGAGACAAGCAAAGACACGAACCCAAACUGGCUGGUUAUUUAUUCAUGAAGUCAUUCAUUUAUAGUUUUCUGUAUCUAAAUUCCAGCUAAAAUCUCAUGGUUAAUAAUCAUACAAUCAUGCAAAAGCCCUCGCUGAAAUGGGAUGGUCUUUACUUGAGAAGAUAUAAUAUACAUAUUUUCAAGCGAGAUUGUUUUUCUCCUUUGUUGGGUUCCUUUCCACAGGUUGCAGAGGACUUUCCACGAAGCAUGGCAUAGCAACGUGUCUGGCCCGUCAUGAUUGCUGUACCGGAGCACGACCUGCUCUGGGGCCAUCUUUGGCCUGUAGGCGGAGAGCACUGUUGCGUAGCUGGUUUGAUGGAUGAACUCCUGGGAAGAUUUACUCUGCCUUAUAAUGUUGCCCAUCACUGAUGCCUCAAAAUCCACACCGGGAAAUAUUCAGUCCAGCAAACAGCUAGUAAACAGCAUGUCCUGAAACCAGGGAGGAACACAUUACUUCUCUUUUCUCCUUAGCAGCUGCCAGGACUAGAAAGGCCUCUCACCGAUAGGAGAUAUGAGAGAGCUGUGACCUCCCGCUGCAAGGCUUUUGUCCCCUUCACACAUUACACUCCUGGCUUUGUUUUUGUUUUUUAAAGUAAGGCUUUAGUUUUUAG